UACAGAGGUCCCAAGCGUUGUUCGGAUUCACUGGGCGUAAAGGGUGCGUAGGUGGUUGGGUAAGUCUGAUGUGAAAUCUCCGGGCUCAACCCGGAAAUGGCAUUGGAUACUAUCUAGCUCGAGGAUCGGAGGGGGGACUGGAAUUCUUGGUGUAGCAGUGAAAUGCGUAGAUAUCGUGAGGAACACCAGAGGCGAAGGCGGUUACCUGGACAGUUACUGACGCUCAGGCACGAAAGCAUGGGGAGCAAAAGGG
rnacentral:rRNA from 1 species